rfam:Prunus persica cultivar Lovell chromosome G1, whole genome shotgun sequence.
UGGCUGUAGCCAAAUUGAAUAAUUGGGAAGUUUACUGGCCGGCCAUUGUGAGAUUUUUCUCUGUUGACGGAUCUGCUUACCGAGUUUCUUACAUUU